GGACGCGUAGCUCAGCGGGAGAGCACUACGUUGACAUCGUAGGGGUCGCUGGUUCGAUCCCAGCCGCGUCCACCA
rnacentral:tRNA from 4 species